rnacentral:rRNA from 1 species
CGAACGGGUGAGUAACACGUGGGCAACCUGCCCAAAAGAGGGGGAUAACACUUGGAAACGGGUGCUAAUACCGCAUAACCAUAGUUACCGCAUGGUAGCUAUGUAAAAGGUGGCUAUGCUACCGCUUUUGGAUGGGCCCGCGGCGCAUUAGCUAGUUGGUGGGGUAAAGGCUUACCGAGGCAAUGAUGCGUAGCCGAAUUGAGAGGUUGAUCGGCCACAUUGGGACUGAGACACGGCCCAAACUCCUACGGGAGGCAGCAG